rnacentral:rRNA from 1 species
CCUACGGGCGGCAGCAGUGAGGAAUAUUGGUCAAUGGGCGUAAGCCUGAACCAGCCAAGUCGCGUGAGGGAUGAAUGUUCUAUGGAUCGUAAACCUCUUUUAUAAGGGAGUAACGUGCGGGACGUGUCCCGUUUUGUAUGUACCUUAUGAAUAAGGAUCGGCUAACUCCGGUCCAGCAGCCGCGGUAAUACCGAGGAUCCGAGCGUUAUCCGGAUUUAUUGGGUUUAAAGGGUGCGUAGGCGGCCUUUUAAGUCAACGGGUAAAGUCUGUGGCUGAACCAUAGAAUUGCCGUUGAAACUGGGAGUCUUGAGUAUGCGUGAGGCAGGCGGAAUGCGUGGUGUAGCGGUGAAAUGCUUAGAUAUCACGCAGAACCCCGAUUGCGAAGGCAGCCUGCCAAGCCAUGACUGACGCUGAUGCACGAAAGCGUGGGGAUCAAACAGGAUUAGAUACCCUGGUAGUC